UCCACCAAGCUUCUUCCUACAUUGCAGUCAUGUCGCUUCUUACCAUGGGCCAAGAACACAGAGGAACUAGGGCAAACAUUGCCUCAUUCGUAAGUUUUUCUUGAACAUUGCCUCUUUCGUAUGUUUGUAAUUAGUUUUUUAAAAGUCCAAUAUAAUGAUUGUUUAUAUUGUUUGUUUUUAAAGGAUCCCAAGAAAUUUCGUCAAC
rnacentral:lncRNA from 1 species